UCAGGAAAGCAAGAACUCGAA
rnacentral:piRNA from 1 species